rnacentral:rRNA from 1 species
UACGUAGGCGGAAAAUUAAGUCAGUAGUGAAAUCCUGCAGCUUAACUGUAGAACUGUUAUUGAUACUGGUUUUCUUGAGUAUAGUUGAGGUAGGCGGAAUGUGUAAUGUAGCGGUGAAAUGCUUAGAUAUUACACAGAACACCGAUUGCGAAGGCAGCUUACUAAGCUAUGAUUGACGCUGAGGUACGAAAGCGUGGGGAGCGAACAGGAUUAGAUACCCUGGUAGUCC